UUUUGGAACUCCUCCUGGACAGAAAGCUGAGAUGUAGACAUGUCCUGGAAAAGGAGGACAUCUGGUCACCCUGCAGCUAACUUCUCUCUUCAUGGAGAGGCGGUUGAUGCAGUCUAGCAAAGGCCUUGUAUACUUCUCAGAUCGUGAUAAAAUCACUUUGGCACAAGACCCGGGUCUCUUCUUGAGGAUUUUCCAACUGAAAACGGAUGUUGCUAUCAGAAACCAGUGAGGAUGUUUGUAAAAGUUGGCUAUCGGUUCCACAGAAGUGGAAGACCUUUGGAUGGUCUCUGCCUACCAAAAUGCCUAGGAAGAGGAUGUCCAGGCAAAAGCGUCCUUUUCCCCGUAGGAUUUCCUCACCAACUGUAGAAACUGUGGGAUAUUUGAGGUAUGGACUUUGCUUUUGGUUGCAUGGAGAGGGCAUCAGAUCUUUUGGCUGUGAGGUUUAGCAUCCCCGAAAGAGGAGGCCCAAUCGAUGCCACUCUUUAAUGGUUGACUGUGGCAGUCCAAAAGCCACUGUUACUGUAUAUCCUAUGACUCUGCAAGGACCACUUGAACUACCAAAACCCUCCUUGAAAACCUAAAAUGCCUGGAAUUCCACUUCUGGUUCUCAAACAACGGAAUAUGAGUGGAUGCAGUCCAAGAAAGCAAAAGAUUUGUGAGGAACCAUAAUGGAACAUGAAUCCAGAGAAUGGAAUAUUUUAUCAACUUUGGUGAUGACUUUGCCAUGGAUAUGAAUUGCAUGGAUUACACAGACCACAGAAGAAAUGGACCACAGCUCUGAAAUCUGGAUCAGGACCACUUUCUCAGAGGCAAAGAUAUGGAACUGCAGUUUGCAAAGCUGGAUGUCACGUUUGGGUCUAAUCUCUGCUUUUUCUUGGCUCAGCCCUAAGAACAGGCCUUGGAAAUCAGAAAUGAUUAUACACUUUGAGCUUUUCCACUUGAAGUACAUGUGGGGGGAAUGAGACUGAGUUUUGAAAUGAGGUUUGUGGGUGUGCAUUCCCCUACAAAGGGAAGGAUCUUGGAACAUUGCAUGGCUUGGAUAUUGGAAUUAUGAUUUGAGUGGAACAGAUGGGAAAUUUGGGUCAGUAGUCUGCUGAUGAUGCAUAUGGACUGCAAAUGAGAAAAUCAAUGGAAGCGGAUUGGAUUGCAACCCCAUGGUACUGCAGUCCAGAACCAGGAUUGCCUCGUGUCACCAGAACUGGGUUUUUCCCAGAUCACCACCAGCUUGGUUGUUUCCAAACUAUGGCCACUCUUCACAGGGCUUUUUCUUGACAAAGUUUGUUCAGAGGAGGAUUUGCCACUGCUUUCCUCUGAGGCUGAGAGAGUGUGACGACCAAAG